AUAUUUAUAUAUGGGUGUGUAUAUAUGUAUGUGUGUGUAUAUAUAUAUGUAUACACACACACACACACACACACACACACACAUACACACACAC
rnacentral:miRNA from 1 species